rnacentral:rRNA from 1 species
GACGAACGCUGGCGGCGUGCUUAACACAUGCAAGUCGAACGCUGAAGCUUGGUGCUUGCACUGGGUGGAUGAGUGGCGAACGGGUGAGUAAUACGUGAGUAACCUGCCCUUGACUCUGGGAUAAGCCUGGGAAACUGGGUCUAAUACUGGAUACGACAUGUCACCGCAUGGUGGUGUGUGGAAAGGGUUUUACUGGUUUUGGAUGGGCUCACGGCCUAUCAGCUUGUUGGUGGGGUAAUGGCUCACCAAGGCGACGACGGGUAGCCGGCCUGAGAGGGUGAGCGGCAGCAGGGGGACGGGAACACGGCCCGGCCUCCUCGGGGGGGCAGAGGGGGGGAUUGUGGAAAAGGGGGGGGAGGCCGGAGGCGGCGCCGCGGGGGGGGGGAGGACGGCCUGGGGUUUGUAAACCUCUUCCGCAGGGAAAAAAGCGAAAGGGCGGGUAGGGGAAAAAGAGGCCCCGGCAAACUCCGGC